rnacentral:rRNA from 1 species
AUUGAACGCUGGCGGCAUGCCUUACACAUGCAAGUCGAACGGCUGCGGACCUUCGGGUGCCGGCGAGUGGCGAACGGGUGAGUAAUGCAUCGGAACGUACCUUUCAGUGGGGGAUAACGUAGCGAAAGUUACGCUAAUACCGCAUAUUCUGUGAGCAGGAAAGCAGGGGAUCGCAAGACCUUGCGCUGAUUGAGCGGCCGAUGUCAGAUUAGCUAGUUGGUGGGGUAAAGGCUCACCAAGGCGACGAUCUGUAGCGGGUCUGAGAGGAUGAUCCGCCACACUGGGACUGGGACAAGGCCCAGAAGCCUCCGGGAGGCAGCAGUGGGGAAUUUUGGACAAUGGGGGCAACCCUGAUCCAGCCAUGCCGCGUGAGUGAAGAAGGCCUUCGGGUUGUAAAGCUCUUUCGGCCGGGAAGAAAUCGCACAGGCUAAUACCUUGUGUGGAUGACGGUACCGGAAUAAGAAGCACCGGCUAACUACGUGCCAGCCGCCGCCGUAAGAC